rnacentral:rRNA from 1 species
CUCAGGAUGAACGCUAGCUACAGGCUUAACACAUGCAAGUCGAGGGGAAACGAUAGAGAAAGCUUGCUUUUUCUAGGCGUCGACCGGCGCACGGGUGAGUAACGCGUAUCCAACCUGCCCAUCACUUGGGGAUAACCUUGCGAAAGUAAGACUAAUACCCAAUGACGUCCAUAGAAGACAUCUGAAAUGGAUUAAAGAUUUAUCGGUGAUGGAUGGGGAUGCGUCUGAUUAGCUUGUUGGCGGGGUAACGGCCCACCAAGGCGACGAUCAGUAGGGGUUCUGAGAGGAAGGUCCCCCACAUUGGAACUGAGACACGGUCCAAACUCCUACGGGAGGCAGCAGUGAGGAAUAUUGGUCAAUGGACGAGAGUCUGAACCAGCCAAGUAGCGUGCAGGAUGACGGCCCUAUGGGUUGUAAACUGCUUUUAUAAGGGAAUAAAGUGAGUCUCGUGAGGCUUUUUGCAUGUACCUUAUGAAUAAGGACCGGCUAAUUCCGUGCCAGCAGCCGCGGUAAUACGGAAGGUCCGGGCGUUAUCCGGAUUUAUUGGGUUUAAAGGGAGCGUAGGCCGGAGAUUAAGCGUGUUGUGAAAUGUAGAUGCUCAACAUCUGAACUGCAGCGCGAACUGGUUUCCUUGAGUACGCACAAAGUGGGCGGAAUUCGUGGUGUAGCGGUGAAAUGCUUAGAUAUCACGAAGAACUCCGAUUGCGAAGGCAGCUCACUGGAGCGCAACUGACGCUGAAGCUCGAAAGUGCGGGUAUCGAACAGGAUUAGAUACCCUGGUAGUCCGCACGGUAAACGAUGGAUGCCCGCUGUUGGUCUGAAUAGGUCAGCGGCCAAGCGAAAGCAUUAAGCAUCCCACCUGGGGAGUACGCCGGCAACGGUGAAACUCAAAGGAAUUGACGGAAGGG